AUUGAACGCUGGCGGCAGGCCUAACACAUGCAAGUCGAACGGUAACAGGAAGAAGCUUGCUUCUUUGCUGACGAGUGGCGGACGGGUGAGUAAUGUCUGGGAAACUGCCUGAUGGAGGGGGAUAACUACUGGAAACGGUAGCUAAUACCGCAUAAUGUCGCAAGACCAAAGAGGGGGACCUUCGGGCCUCUUGCCAUCGGAUGUGCCCAGAUGGGAUUAGCUAGUAGGUGGGGUAACGGCUCACCUAGGCGACGAUCCCUAGCCGGUCUGAGAGGAUGACCAGCCACACUGGAACUGAGACACGGUCCAGACUCCUACGGGAGGCAGCAGUGGGGAAUAUUGCACAAUGGGCGCAAGCCUGAUGCAGCUAUGCCGCGUGUAUGAAGAAGGCCUUCGGGUUGUAAAGUACUUUCAGCGGGGAGGAAGGGAGUAAAGUUAAUACCUUUGCUCAUUGACGUUACCCGCAGAAGAAGCACCGGCUAACUCCGUG
rnacentral:rRNA from 1 species